AGAGUUUGAUCCUGGCUCAGAUUGAACGCUGGCGGCAGGCCUAACACAUGCAAGUCGAGCGGUAGAGAGAAGCUUGCUUCUCUUGAGAGCGGCGGACGGGUGAGUAAUGCCUAGGAAUCUGCCUGGUAGUGGGGGAUAACGUUCGGAAACGGACGCUAAUACCGCAUACGUCCUACGGGAGAAAGCAGGGGACCUUCGGGCCUUGCGCUAUCAGAUGAGCCUAGGUCGGAUUAGCUAGUUGGUGAGGUAAUGGCUCACCAAGGCGACGAUCCGUAACUGGUCUGAGAGGAUGAUCAGUCACACUGGAACUGAGACACGGUCCAGACUCCUACGGGAGGCAGCAGUGGGGAAUAUUGGACAAUGGGCGAAAGCCUGAUCCAGCCAUGCCGCGUGUGUGAAGAAGGUCUUCGGAUUGUAAAGCACUUUAAGUUGGGAGGAAGGGUUGUAGAUUAAUACUCUGCAAUUUUGACGUUACCGACAGAAUAAGCACCGGCUAACUCUGUGCCAGCAGCCGCGGUAAUACAGAGGGUGCAAGCGUUAAUCGGAAUUACUGGGCGUAAAGCGCGCGUAGGUGGUUUGUUAAGUUGGAUGUGAAAUCCCCGGGCUCAACCUGGGAACUGCAUUCAAAACUGACUGACUAGAGUAUGGUAGAGGGUGGUGGAAUUUCCUGUGUAGCGGUGAAACGCGUAGAUAUAGGAAGGAACACCAGUGGCGAAGGCGACCACCUGGACUAAUACUGACACUGAGGUGCGAAAGCGUGGGGAGCAAACAGGAUUAGAUACCCUGGUAGUCC
rnacentral:rRNA from 1 species